AGUUACAGAUCUGUCACACAUAGAAGUUCCACUGCUUAGAGAGACAUUGCUCAGCUACCAUGGUCCUACUGAGAAUUCCAUCUCUCCCAAAGAGUACAAACAGUAGAAGGUUCAAGCCAGUAUACGUUUGGGUUCAGCAAAAAACCCUGCAUCCCAGCUGCUUCCAGGUCCUCAGACUUUGUUAAUCUGGAGGAAGAAGAAAACCUGUCAAAAGAUGCCCUUUACUUGGCUGUGAUCUGUUGCAGAAAUAUCCACGCAUCUCUGGGAAAGUCACUUGGCCUGCAGAAGAAUGACAGGUUUGGGAAGACAGCACAGUAACAGCCAGCACCAAGACGGGCUCAUCAGAGAAUACGCUGGGGCAGUGCUGGAGCACUCGGUUGGCGGUCCUGCAUGCGGAAAGCCGGGAGCCAAUGGUUUGCAGAGAGCAGAGGUUGCAGAAGACAAGGGCUCGCUAAGAGGGUCAGACCUCCCUCUUGUCAAAAUCCUACCCUGCUAGGACGAAGGGGUGAGGGAAGGCAGGCGGCCAGAGUGAAGGACCGCUGGAAGUGAAGAGGAACCGAGGGCUCCUAGGUGCACAUUGUUGGAGGCAGCAUCCUGCGGUGGCUUUCUCUGAACUCCUGCUGCCUGGACUGAAUCCCGAUCAACUUUCCUGCCCCGUGUCCUUCCUCAGGCUGCCUGCCCACCACUACCCCUUCCCUAAGCUCUAAAGCAGGUUGCAUGGAAACGAGCGCAGAAACAUGGCAGGCAGCAGCAGGAGGGCAAAGGCAGCUGAGAUGGGCCUGGAGCUAUACACCCUUUUGGAGCUUCCUCUUGCUCCCCCCACCCCCACUCGAACCCCAUUCGAAAACUGAAGUGUUGUUUCCACUUCCAAAUGGAAUUUUUAAAAGUGAAACUCAAUGCUCUCCAACAGAAAGCGCAAAUGUUCAGUUACGAGAUA